rnacentral:rRNA from 1 species
GAACGCUGGCGGCGUGCCUAAUACAUGCAAGUCGAACGCUUCUUUCCUCCCGAGUGCUUGCACUCAAUUGGAAAGAGGAGUGGCGGACGGGUGAGUAACACGUGGGUAACCUACCCAUCAGAGGGGGAUAACACUUGGAAACAGGUGCUAAUACCGCAUAACAGUUUAUGCCGCAUGGCAUAAGAGUGAAAGGCGCUUUCGGGUGUCGCUGAUGGAUGGACCCGCGGUGCAUUAGCUAGUUGGUGAGGUAACGGCUCACCAAGGCCACGAUGCAUAGCCGACCUGAGAGGGUGAUCGGCCACACUGGGACUGAGACACGGCCCAGACUCCUACGGGAGGCAGCAGUAGGGAAUCUUCGGCAAUGGACGAAAGUCUGACCGAGCAACGCCGCGUGAGUGAAGAAGGUUUUCGGAUCGUAAAACUCUGUUGUUAGAGAAGAACAAGGACGUUAGUAACUGAACGUCCCCUGACGGUAUCUAACCAGAAAGCCACGGCUAACUACGUG